rnacentral:rRNA from 1 species
AAUAGAUACCCGGGUAGUCCACGCCGUAAACGAUGAGUGCUAAGUGUUAGAGGGUUUCCGCCCUUUAGUGCUGCAGCUAACGCAUUAAGCACUCCGCCUGGGGGAGUACGGUCGCAAGACUGAAACUCAAAGGAAUUGACGGGGGGCCCGCACAAGCGGUGGAGCAUGUGGUUUAAUUCGAAGCAACGCGAAGAACCUUACCAGGUCUUGACAUCCUCUGACAACUCUAAAGAUAGAGCGUUCCCCUUCGGGGGGACAGAGUGACAGGUGGUGCAUGGUUGUCGUCAGCUCGUGUCGUGAGAUGUUGGGUUAAGUCCCGCAACGAGCGCAACCCUUGAUCUUAGUUGCCAGCAUUUAGUUGGGGCACUCUAAGGUGACUGCCGGUGACAAACCGGAGGAAGGUGGGGAUGACGUCAAAUCAUCAUGCCCCUUAUGACCUGGGCUACACACGUGCUACAAUGGAUGGUACAAAGGGCUGCAAGACCGCGAGGUCAAGCCAAUCCCAUAAAACCAUUCUCAGUUCGGA